UACGUAGGGUGCAAGCGUUAAUCGGAAUGACUGGGCGUAAAGCGUGCGCAGGCGGUUAUGCAAGUCAGAUGUGAAAUCCCCGGGCUCAACCUGGGAACUGCAUUUGUGACUGGCGGGCUAGAGUAUGGCAGAGGGGGGUAGAAUUCCACGUGUAGCAGUGAAAUGCGUAGAGAUGUGGAGGAAUACCGAUGGCGAAGGCAGCCCCCUGGGCCAAUACUGACGCUCAGGCACGAAAGCGUGGGGAGCAAACAGG
rnacentral:rRNA from 1 species